UGAUCAGUAGUGGGAUCGCGCCUGUGAAU
rnacentral:piRNA from 4 species